rnacentral:rRNA from 1 species
CCUACGGGUGGCAGCCGUGGGGAAUAUUGGGCAAUGGGCGCAAGCCUGACCCAGCCACGCCGCGUGAAGGAAGAAGGCUUUCGGGUUGUAAACUUCUUUUAAGAGGGAAGAGCAGAAGACGGUACCUCUUGAAUAAGCCACGGCUAACUACGUGCCAGCAGCCGCGGUAAUACGUAGGUGGCAAGCGUUGUCCGGAUUUACUGGGUGUAACGGGCUGGUAGCCGUGCUGACAAGUCAGAUGUGAAAUUCCGGGGCUCAACCCCUGACCUGCCUUUGACACUGUUGGUCUUGAGUAUCGGAGAGGCAGGCGGAAUGCCUGGUGUAGCGGUGAAAUGCGUAGAUAUUAGGAGGAACACCAGUGGCGAAGGCGGCCUGCUGGACGACAACUGACGGUGAGGCGCGAAAGCGUGGGGAGCAAACAGGAUUAGAUACCCCAGUAGUC